UACGUAGGGUCCAAGCGUUAUCCGGAAUCACUGGGCGUAAAGCGUGCGUAGGCGGACAUUUAAGUGUAAUGCGAAAUCCUGUGGCUCAACCAUAUGGACUGUAUUGCAUACUGGAUGUCUGGAGGAAUGCAGAGGCAAGUGGAAUUACUGGUGUAGCAGUGAAAUGCGUAGAUAUCAGUAGGAACACCAAUGGCGAAGGCAGCUUGCUGGGCAUUUUCUGACGCUAAGGCACGAAAGCGUGGGGAGCGAACAGG
rnacentral:rRNA from 1 species